rnacentral:rRNA from 1 species
AUACGGAGGGUGCAAGCGUUACUCGGAAUCACUGGGCGUAAAGCGCGCGCAGGCGGUCUUUAAGUUGGAUGUGAAAGCCCACGGCUCAACCGUAGAACUGCAUCCAAAACUAUUAGACUAGAGUGUGGGAGAGGAAGAUGAAUUAGUUGUGUAGGGGUAAAAUCCGUAGAGAUAACUAGGAAUACCAAAAGCGAAGGCAAUCUUCUGGAACACUACUGACGCUGAGGCGCGAAAGCGUGGGGAGCAAACAGGAUUAGAUACCCUAGUAGUCC